UGCACGUGUGGGGCUUUUUUUCGUCCUGUCUUUUACAGAUGAAUUCACUUCUCGUUAGGGUCUCAACACUUUCGUUUUUGGACAUGUCGAAUUGUCAAGCUCGUUAUUCGAGAUUAUAGUCUGCUAUCCGGGAGCAACGAGGUGUGCACAAGUAUGAACCGGUUUUCUUAUAUUCCAUUCCCUAACUAUGUAAACAAGAAUUUCCCAUUAUCAACUAAUCCUCAUUUUUUUUGUUUUUCUUUUGUUUCUUAACUCUCACAACAUUUACUUUUUUUUUUCUUAAAUUGAAACCUUGGAAAAAUCCGACAGAUAUUCGUCUUUUUUUUCUCGUCCAAUUAUUUCCAGAGUUCCAUACUAAUUCGAUUUACAAUUGAGACAUGUCUGAAUCAUUAGAUACACGAAACAUGUCGAGGACUGUAUCGUUUUUCAAAAUCUCGUAAUACCUAUUCAACUCAUAAUCUAUUAGACCUAUAUUAUAAUUACGUACCGAAAUGGAGGCCGUGAAUCUCGAACUUAGUCGAACAAAAGUAAAGUUGUUGAGAUAGGGGAUGACGUCAUUCUCGUGAGUCUCUCGUUACACACUUGUUUAACCAUCAGGAUCUCAUUUACGAAAACUCAGCAAAAUUUCCUUCUCGUUUAGUAGAAACAGCAGUCGUGCAUGCACGCCCCGGGCGAGAAAAUGGACACCAUUUUUUUUUCUUUUUCUCUGACAACUGCGCAAUUUUUCUUUUUUCUCUUUUUCACAAGACAAACAUUUGUUUUCCCUUUCCCUUUUAGUAUCGGGCAAAGAAGAAAAGAAAAAUAUGUCGCCGGAAGUGAGGAUUAACUAGUCCAGUCCCUUAUUUUUUCAAACACAUUUUCUUUUUUUGCAACAAGUUAACAAUGCUCCCAAGGCUAAUUUUUCUCUCUCGUUGUUUUCUUGUCCAUCCUCCCCAAAAUUCUCUGAACGUGUGCCAUCCGGUGGCCAAUGAAAAACAUGAGCUCUAAUUUAACCUUGGUUACUAAGUCAAUGUGCAACAGACAAAAAGCCAAAAGGUUUUUCGAAGAGGCAAAAAAUCGAAAAUGGUGAAGUACAAGGUUGUGACAUUGCUCCAUAAUCUUUUAUGUUUCCAUUUCAUUUGUUUAAUAAUUCUGUUUGACUCAGCAAAGGGUACUAACAGACUUAACUGUGUAAUACAAUCACAUUGAUGUACGGUAAUUCGAGUUUUAAAAUAUAAAAAAAAAAAUGAAAUCAAAUGGAAAAGAAAAAAGUAGACUUGGCACAGUAAACAGCAACUAUCGUCCCAGUACUAUCUGCUUUGAUUACCGAUUAGGCCGUUCUCGAAUUUCGUGUGCGUCGCCGUCGUGAUGUGUUACUUGAACUGAUUUUGGCUCGCAAGGCCGAACACUACUCAUUUUACCAUUUCAAAGAAACUGCAACGAAAAUGUGAGACAAAACUGAAACACUUUCUUGUUCGUGAUGUUUUGUUCGACUGUCGUUACGUCGCUUAGAGGCAUUUCUUUGAAUAAACAAGCAAGAAAAAUCAAGAUGUAUUGACAGAAAUAAAUGAAAGUAUUGCCCACUACAAUAAUUACAAUAGGUUGAUAGCCUUUGGGCGCCAUUUUCUUGUUCACCUGCCCAACCGUCUGUAAUACUUUUGGCAGCUCUCUCGGCCGGACAAACAAUCUAAUGAAUAAAGCUUGCAGCUAAAAAAAAAAAAAAAAAACAGAUCGUUACCUUGACGAAAAGAAAACAACCAAUUUUCUUUGGAGAUAAAAGUUAAAUCACAUUUUCUUCUAUCGUUUGGAAAAAAAAAUUCGGACACUUUAGAAAAAAUUGUUGGCAUAUCUCUUUAUACGGACGUUUUAUUUCACAGUCCAAACACGAAGGGGAAGAAGAAAAAAAAAGAAAACCAAUGGCGGCGGUUGGCGGUGGCGGUUUCUUCGGUGGUGAAUUAAAAAAUAAAGAAUUUCGGCUUUUUAUUAUUUUCCGCCCUUCAAGAUUUUUAUUUGUGUUAUCCCUUCUGUGCCUAUCUUUGCCCUGAUUGAUGAGGCCACAACAUUUUUUUUCUUUCUUCGAUGAUGACGACUUUUAUACGCCAAUGGAGUCUCGGAAGCAACCGCUGUUUUUUUAAUGAGGUCGCCCCGUGUGUCUUUUUUUUUUAAGAAGCCGAAUCAUUGGCUGCCAUCCAUCUCGUCAUUGAAUCCAUGUCCGCUGGCCCGAUACGUCAACGUCAAUAGACACAACAACAUGGAAGAGUAUAUAGGCACGCCGAUAUAUAUUGAUGUAAAUAAAUAUCUCUUUUUUUUUUUCUUUUUGCUGUGUGUGUGUGUGUGGAUGGGACGUUGUUGGGGGGGUUAUGCUAAUCAGGUAUGCAUCAUCCAUCACCAGUGGUGCGCCAUCAACCGUAAACAUUGAACAGCUCUAUACGGAAAAUAUUAAAGAGAAAAGAAAAAACAAAAAAGAAAAGUAAAAACAAAAAUCAACCUUAAAAGACCAAUCCUAUUUUCUUUUAAAGAGACAUUUUCUCGAGAAAAAGGAAGUAUGUUGAAAUUCCCUGAAUCAUCGAUUUUUUAUUGUGUCAAAUUGUAUACUCUAUCAAAUGCAAUAAUUGAACAGUAGCUACUGGA